rnacentral:misc_RNA from 1 species
GGAGUUUCGCCCUUGCUCUGGAACAGCGUGAUGAAGCUUCUGCUCAACCAGCCGGCCUGGGCGGUCCUUGGUAUUCUCGGCAUCGUGCUGAUGCUGCUGUUCCGGCCCUCCAAGCCGCUGAUCGGUUACUCACGAAAUUGAGCAACAUUCAGGGCAAGGAGAAUCCGCCUGGCGAGCAAAUUUCGAGAGCGAGUUCGCACAGAUUUCAAGGGGUGAUGCCGGACA